AGACUCCGUCUCAAAAAUAAAUAAAUAAAAAUUUACAAAGCAGCAGAGAUUAGGACACGGACACACACAGGGGGACGACCAUGAGAAGACAUGAGAAGGUGGCCAUCUACAAGCCGAGGAGAGAGGCCUCAGAAGAAACGGACCCUACUGUCACCUUGAUCUCAAACUUCCAGCCUCCAGGACUGUGAGACAAUGCACUUCUAUGACUGAAGCCAUGCAGUCUGGGUGCUCUGUUAACUGCAGGUGCCCCUCAGCCUCCCUCCUCUGGCUCACGGCCCUACCCACUCGCACUGGCUGCUGCCCGCAGGUCCCUGCCAUCUGUCUGCCUUCUGCCUGGCUUCCUUUCCACUUCUGUACUGUCUACCCAGUGGACUCCUCCAUCUCCGGUUCUCCUUCUCGAGAUUUUGAACUCCUGAGCUCAAGCAAUCCUCCCCCCUUGUACCAGCUCUCAGCGCGGGCUGCCUCCCAGAAAGUCCUCAGGCUCUGUCCACCCGCCCCCAGUACAAACACUCUCAUGUCAUGA